rnacentral:rRNA from 1 species
GGGUCAGUAGGUUGGUCGUGCCACCGGUACGUACUGGUCUCACUGAUUCCUCCUUCCUCAAGAACCGUAAUGCCAUUAAUUUGGUGUUGCGGGGAAACAGGACUGUUACUCUGAAAAAAUUAGAGUGUUUAAAGCAAGCUAACGCUUGAAUACAUUAGCAUGGAAUAAUGAAAUAGGGCGAUCGAUCCUAUUUUGUUGGUUUCUAGGAUUGACGUA